CCCGCUGAACUUAAGCAUAUCAAUAAGGCGAGGAACAGAAACCAACCGGGAUUCCCUCAGUAGUGGCGAAUGAAGCGGGAAAAGCUCAAGUUUGAAAUCUGGCGGGCGACCUCCAGAGUUGUAAGCUGAAGAGGUGUCGAUCGACGUGGCCCGGGCUCAAUUUCCUUGGAACAGGAGGUCAUGGAGGGUGAGAACCCCGUCUAUGGCUCGGGCUCCGACGUCCUUGUGUCGUAUCCUCGAAGAGUCGGGUUGUUUGGGAAUGCAGCUCAAAAUGGGUGGUAAAUUUCAUCUAAAGCUAAAUACUGGCGAGAGACCGAUAGCGAAACAAGUAGAGUGAUCGAAAGAUGAAAAGCACUUUGAAAAGAGAGUGAAACAGUACGUGAAAUUGUUGAAAGGGAAGCGUUUGGCAUCAGCCCUUGGUGUCCGUCGAUCAUCCGGGCUCCUGCCCGGUGCACUUGUCGGACGUCGGGCCAGCGUCGGCUUCGCUCGUGGGAGAAAGGCGUGGGGGACGUGGCUCCCUUCGGGGAGCGUUAUAACCCCGCGCGUCACGCCACGGGGCGAGGCCGAGGUCCGCGGUCAAUCCUAGGACGCUGGCGUAAUGGUUCCAAGCGACCCGUCUUGAAACACGG
rnacentral:rRNA from 1 species